rnacentral:rRNA from 1 species
GUCCCAGUUCGGACUGUAGUCUGNAACCCGACUACACGAAGCCGGAAUCGCUAGUAAUCGCGGAUCAGAAUGCCGCAGUGAAUACGUUCCCGGGUCUUGUACACACCGCCCGUCACACCAUGGGAGUCGGAAAUGCCCGAAGUCAGUGACCCAACCGGAAGGAAGGAGCUGCCGAAGGUGGAGCCGGUAACUGGGGUGAAGUCGUAACAAGGUAUC